UAUAGUGAUUAUGGUGCGAAGGAUAUACCUGUUCCCAUUUCGAACACAGAAGUCAAGCUUCGUAACGCUGAGAGUAGUUGGGGGAUCGCCCCCUGCGAGGGUAGGACGUUGCUAUAC
rnacentral:rRNA from 2 species